rnacentral:rRNA from 1 species
GCCACAUUAGUUAGUUGGUAGAGUAAAAGCCUACCAAGACGAUGAUGUGUAGCUGGACUGAGAGGUUGAACAGCCACAUUGGGACUGAGACACGGCCCAAACUCCUACGGGAGGCAGCAGUAGGGAAUUUUCGGCAAUGGAGGAAACUCUGACCGAGCAACGCCGCGUGAACGAUGAAGUAUUUCGGUAUGUAAAGUUCUUUUAUUGAGGAAGAAAAAGUAGUGGAAAAACUAUAUUGACGUUAUUCAAUGAAUAAGCCCCGGCUAACUAUGUGCCAUCAGCCGCGGUAAGACAUAGGGGGCGAGCGUUAUCCGGAAUUAUUGGCCGUCAAAGGUGCUUAGCCUGUUACCUUUGUGUUUAAUUUAAUUUCUUUGAUGAACGCUGUCUUCUGCUAGAAACUGUCUCGAGUACGGUGUGAUAUUGGCAAGCGGAAUUCCAUGUGUAGCGGUAAAAUGUGUAAAUAUAUGGAGGAACACCAGAAGCGUAGGCGGCUUGCUGGGUCUUUACUGACGCUGAGGCACGAAAGCGUGGGUAGCAAACAGGAUUAGAUACCCUGGUAGUCCACGCCGUAAACGAUGAGUACUAAGUGUCGGGGUAAAACUCGGUACUGAAGUUAACACAUUAAGUAAUCCGCCUGAGUAGUACGUACGCAAGUAAGAAACUUAAAGGAAUUGACGGGACUCCGCACAAGCGGUGGAUCAUGUUGUUUAAUUCGAAGAUACACGAAAAAUCUUACCAGGUCUUGACAUACUCUGCAAAGCUAUAGAAAUAUAGUGGAGGUUAUCAGGGAUACAGGUGGUGCAUGGUUGUCGUCAGUUCGUGUCGUGAGAUGUUAGGUUAAGUCCUAAAACGAACGCAACCCUUGUCGUUAAUUGCCAGCACAUAAUGGUGGGGACUUUAACGAGACUGCCAAUUAAACAUUGGAGGAAGGUGAGGAUUACGUCAAAUCAUCAUGCCCCUUAUGAUCUGGGCUACAAACGUGAUACAAUGGCUGUGACAAAGAGUAGCUGAAACGCGAGUUUUUAGCCAAUCUCAAAAAAGCAGUCUCAGUUCGGAUUGAAGUCUGUAACUCGACUUCAUGAAGUUUGAAUCGCUAGUAA